GAUGAACGCUGGCGGCGUGCCUAAUACAUGCAAGUCGAGCGAACAGAUAAGGAGCUUGCUCCUUUGACGUUAGCGGCGGACGGGUGAGUAACACGUGGGUAACCUACCUAUAAGACUGGGAUAACUUCGGGAAACCGGAGCCAAUACCGGAUAAUAUUUCGAACCGCAUGGUUCGAUAGUGGAAGAUGGUUUUGCUAUCACUUAUAGAUUGACCCGCGCCGUAUUAGCUAGUUGGUAAGGUAACGGCUUACCAAGGCGACGAUCCGUAGCCGACCUGGGAGGGUGAUCGGCCACACUGGAACUGAGACACGGUCCAGACUCCUACGGGAGGCAGCAGUAGGGAAUCUUCCGCAAUGGGCGAAAGCCUGACGGAGCAACGCCGCGUGAGUGAUGAAGGUCUUCGGAUCGUAAAACUCUGUUAUUAGGGAAGAACAUACGUGUAAGUAACUGUGCACGUCUUGACGGUACCUAAUCAGAAAGCCACGGCUAACUACGUG
rnacentral:rRNA from 1 species